rnacentral:rRNA from 1 species
CCUACGGGUGGCAGCAGUGGGGAAUAUUGCGCAAUGGGCGAAAGCCUGACGCAGCGACGCCGCGUGAGGGAUGAAGGUCUUCGGAUCGUACACCUCUGUCAGCAGGGAAGAACGGUCACUGUGCUAAUCAGCAGUGAAUUGACGGUACCUGCAAAGGAAGCACCGGCUAACUCCGUGCCAGCAGCCGCGGUAAGACGGAGGGUGCGAGCGUUAAUCGGAAUUACUGGGCGUAAAGCGCUCGUAGGCGGUAUGUCAAGUCAAGGGUGACAUGCCCGCGCGCAACGUGGGAACUGCCUUUGAAACUGGCAAACUGGAGUGUGGGAGAGGAUAGUGGAAUUCCAGGUGUAGGAGUGAAAUCCGUAGAUAUCUGGAGGAACAUCAGUGGCGAAGGCGACUAUCUGGCACAUAACUGACGCUGAGGAGCGAAAGCGUGGGUAGCAAACAGGAUUAGAUACCCCGGUAGUC